rnacentral:rRNA from 1 species
UACAGAGGGUGCGAGCGUUAAUCGGAAUUACUGGGCGUAAAGCGCACGUAGGUGGCGACGUAAGUCGGGUGUGAAAGCCCCGGGCUCAACCUGGGAAUUGCAUUCGAGACUGCAUUGCUGGAGUACGGAAGAGGAAGGCGGAAUUCCCGGUGUAGCGGUGAAAUGCGUAGAUAUCGGGAGGAACAUCAGUGGCGAAGGCGGCCUUCUGGACAGCGACUGACGCUGAGGAGCGAAAGCAUGGGGAGCAAACAGG